AUGCGUUUUUUUUAUGGCUGAGUUUAAGCAUUAGACUUUUAAUCUAAAUACGAUGUUAAUCU
rnacentral:tRNA from 1 species